GAAUGCUUCUUCUGGGAUGCGGUGGGACUUGUUCUCGGAACGCUGCGCGAGCCCAACCCAGGAACUGCUCCCGGUGCCGCGCGGAGCCCAGGGUGCUUAGGUAGGACCCGGGGUCGGUUUUGGGUUUUGUCGGUACCCGCCGGGGGUUCCCAGCGGUGCCGCCUCUUCCCGAGCCGGCAGGGUGCGGAACGCAGGAUCGGGACGGGACUGGGGCCGGGAUCAGAACCGGGACUGGGCUUACCGCGGGCAGCCGGAGCCGCUCCGGGACGGGCGCUGGGCCGAGCCCGACGCUGCCGCUCCUGCUCCGGCCGCAGCGGGCGUGGGACUCCGGGCACGAUCCCUCCUCUGCUGCAGGGAGCCGGGGCUCUGCCGGUAACUGUGCCCGAGAGAAUGGCGGCGGAAUCUCCUCGUGCGGACGCUGGAUCGCCGCUGGAACCGGCUGGGACACCGGGACCGCCGUGCCAGCCCUGGCGCCCUGAAUCCCGCCGCUCCCAUCCCGCGGUACCGCCUACACCCCGCGGGUGUGCGGAGCCCCCGCAGCCCCCAGCGGAGAGCAGCGCCGAGCUCCCCUUCCCCGGGUCCGCACAGCCGCGGAGCUCCUGCCCGCCGCACCCCUGUGGGACGAGCGGGGCUGGAGCACGGCAGGAGCCGCUCGGCUGGGCACGGUUCCACUCGGGCUGCUUCUUCAGCACCGCCGGGUCACAGGAUAUAUUGGGGUCCAACUGACUGAACCAAUCUCUGGGUCACAAGUAUGCACCUCGCAAGCAUGGGAAUCCUUGGAACCAGCAAGGGAACCGCAGCUCCUUCUGUUCUGCUAAAGCUGCUUUACACACCAGCCCCUGCUGUGGCUGUAAGAGAGAAAAGAGUAGGAUGGGUCCUGAGGCUUCCCUUGCUGCAUGACCAAAAUUCUUCUGGAGAGAGACAGGGGGCAUUUGCUGCAG